CAGUCGCCGCGGGAAUACAGAGGAGGCAAGCGUUAUCCGGAAUGAUUGGGCGUAAAGCGUCUGUAGGUGGCUUUUCAAGUCCGCCGUCAAAUCCCAGGGCUCAACCCUGGACAGGCGGUGGAAACUACCAAGCUGGAGUACGAUAGGGGCAGAGGGAAUUUCCGGUGGAGCGGUGAAAUGCGUUGAGAUUGGAAAGAACACCAACGGUGAAAGCACUCUGCUGGGCCGACACUGACACUGAGAGACGAAAGCUAGGGGAGCAAAUGGGAUUAGAUACCCCCGUAGUCCCUGUCUCUUAUAC
rnacentral:rRNA from 1 species